CGGUCAAAUGCAGCGAACACACCUCUGCUGUCUCCCACUGGAACACCUCGCCCAUCAGCAUCUACCGAAGACAACUUUCAGUCCCCAUUGUGCUGUACGGCCCACUCAAGUUCACCUGAUGAGUGCCAUUGCUUGGUGGAAUAGAAAUCUGAUCUCAGACGCCGUGUUUGCCGCCAAAGGACGGAACUACAGAAGCGCCUCAACACCUGCUGAUUCUAUUCGGAGAGACUGUGGACGACAACGUCCGGGGCCCUGCCAAUGUCCCUUCUGACGAGCUGCUGGGGUUGGAUACCCGUUCAGAUGGAGCACAGGUAAGGAGGAGGUUCAGCAUGGGCAGCCAUGAUCCAGAUCCAGAGGCGUACCAUAGCGACGAGGAGGCUCACUCCCAGCGUUCACCCUCUGGUCUCUCCCAAAACCCGCUUCAGGGCUUCGAAAGGCUGGAAAAGUUUUGCUGUGCUAUAAAUCCCCCCGACAGAGGACAAGCUCACUCUUUCCGCUGAGCAGAGGAACACGGUCCUUGAAGCCUGGAAUGAAGUGGAGGAGCAUGAGAAGCAGUUCAACCAGCUGUACAGAGCUCACUGGAGCAUCUGCCUCCACUGCAGCACAAAUAGAGAACAUCUGGUUGAUGUUGUUGUGAUCCAGAGGCUACCGAUGGAUAAGUGCAAAGUCCAGCUCAACAAGACGUCAGUGCUCAGCACAACAGGCUCAUCUACACGCUGGUUAAACUGUUGUUUGAACAACAGCUGUUUACACUGUGCAUAUAUCUGUAAAAAAGGUGCAGCUGUAUUGCAUCGUAAAUAAACUUCACUCAAGUGCUGUGGUGUACACAGCAAUGUAUUCAAUUAAUAAUAAAUCUGUAAAGAAUUUGGUCUUAUUGGACACACACAUGUACUUUUCUAUUUCUGAUUGUGCUCUGUCUUAAUGCACUUUACAGCUUUUUCAGUUGAAUAUAUGCUACGGUUAAAAGUGUCACACAAAUAUCCAAACUGUACACUCAAGGAGCAAAACACCGCCCAGAUCUGCACAACUAUAAGAUCUGCACAACUAUAAGCACAAUAUAAGCCUUACACUGUUUGCAAAACAAUACACACAGUAGCUGUGUCCCAAUUCAUACUUAAGGACGCAUUUGUCGAGCGCACACGUCACUUCGGCUGCGACUCGGCUGUCCCAUUCAGUCGGCUCCUCCGAACAACACACAUUUAUAACAAAUACACAACAAGCAGCUCACAUUACCGGAAGCUGCUGCGCUGUUAACGGCAGCUUGUCUGUAGUUAUUAUUGAAAAGUCACUUUAACACCUCAACUUUCACACUUUAGAGGCUGACUAAUAUUGUACUGAGGCUUUGACGGUUUAUAUCACAUAAUGCUUAGAAAUGGAUCAAAGUCAUCUCAUAUAUACCAGUUAUGAACCUGAAAUAUCACCUUCUAAGUCAGUAAAGUUACAGAAUAAAUAAGCAGAACUUGUGUUGAGAACGAUGUGUGUGGUGACAAUUCAGCUUCUGGAGCUUGGACAUAUUCUGUAAUAUGAUUAAGGUUACAGUUAAAAUAGCUUGUAUCCUAUGCAAGAAAAAAAUAAAAUG